AUUGAACGCUGGCGGCAUGCCUUACACAUGCAAGUCGAACGGCAACACGGGAGCUUGCUCCUGGUGGCGAGUGGCGAACGGGUGAGUAAUACAUCGGAACGUACCCAGUAGUGGGGGAUAACGCACCGAAAGGUGCGCUAAUACCGCAUACGACCUACGGGUGAAAGCGGGGGACCGUAAGGCCUCGCGCUAUUGGAGCGGCCGAUGUCUGAUUAGCUAGUUGGCGGGGUAAAAGCCCACCAAGGCGACGAUCAGUAGCUGGUCUGAGAGGACGAUCAGCCACACUGGGGCUGAGACACGGCCCAGACUCCUACGGGAGGCAGCAGUGGGGAAUUUUGGACAAUGGGGGCAACCCUGAUCCAGCAAUGCCGCGUGUGCGAAGAAGGCCUUCGGGUUGUAAAGCACUUUUGUCAGGGAAGAAAUCUUUCAGGCUAAUACCCUUGGAAGGAUGACGGUACCUGAAGAAUUAGCACCGGCUAACUACGUGCCAGCAGCCGCCGUAA
rnacentral:rRNA from 1 species